UACGUAGGGUGCGAGCGUUUGUCCGGAAUUAUUGGGCGUAAAGGGCUCGUAGGCGGUUUGUCGCGUCGGGAGUGAAAACACACAGCUUAACUGUGUGCUUGCUUCCGAUACGGGCAGACUAGAGGUAUGCAGGGGAGAACGGAAUUCCUGGUGUAGCGGUGAAAUGCGCAGAUAUCAGGAGGAACACCGGUGGCGAAGGCGGUUCUCUGGGCAUGAUCUGACGCUGAGGAGCGAAAGUGUGGGGAGCGAACAGG
rnacentral:rRNA from 1 species